UGCCCUCCCCACGCCGCCACGAGAGCCACGAGCCCGUGCUACAAGCCUGCGACACGCUCCUCUCGCUCCUCCCCCGUCCCUUGCUCCUCCGUGCCAGCGCAGCCCCCAGCAUCGUCGGGCGCCAGAGGCUACAUCCUCUAUGCAUCCCACACCACCAGGCACCUCAUCCAUGCCCCUAGCAACUGCGGCGGCCGCCGUCCUACUUCACGCCCUCGCGUCCUCCACUCCUCCGCCAGAUACUUCAUCGGAUCCGCGGCAUCAAGUGCCCCAGGGGCGAGCUCGCCGACGCCUUGCCCAAACUCUGCGUUCCUGAAUAGGGUUGGGCGCCCCUGCGCCGAUUUUGAUCCAGCGAGGACUAUGGCCAACCACGACAUUCUACAAGGCCAGCAGAUGCGGACCCUGAUGCCGGCCCAGCCAGGUCAACUCUCGUCACCCAUGCUAGUGGGGGGCAGCAGAUGAGGAUCCCCACGCCGGCAGCCAGCAGCCGGCGUGCUCAGGUCCUCUCCGUGGUGCUAGCGAGCAAAUCUCCAACAUCGGCAUCCUCCUCGUCAAUGGAUCUUGGAGGCAGAUCUGCCACACCCACUGAAGCUCCAGCGCCCUCUCCUUGCCGGUCCCAAACUUGCCAUCCUCCUGGAGGUGCUUUGAACUGAACCAAUGGCAUCCAUCAAGCUCAGCCCCUCCAACCAGCAAGAGUGAAUGGAUGAUUUAGCGACAAGGAGGAUGUUAAGUUAGCUGGAUGGUACCGAGCAGGCGUAAGCCAUUAGCUGCACCCAAGGACACAGAUUUGGAUUGUUUGAAGUGGUGAAGGAUCUUCCCUUUUUACAUCAAGUGUAGCUCUCUAUAACAACAGUGAAAACAGCAUGUGCAGUGAGGUACUAGAGAAAAACUUGUAUUCUGCAGGGAUUACAUUUGUCUCCACUAUUCCCUGAUAGCAGCUCUUGAUGCAUGUAAGCAGCUCAACAUGUUCGAUUCCAUAGAAGCUCCAGAUGCAUGUGCUGGCUUUACUUAUUCAUUAUUGCAAUUUUAUCAAAAUUAAUCAAAUGAGUAGUCUAAUAUUUGGACACAUGAGUGCAUAGAUUAGUUGUCAAGACAUGAAACCAUACUACAAUUAGGAUUGUAUUUUGAUUGUAUCCAACUUAUGAUUUGCUUUUGGGGCACAUUAUGUCUACGACAAGUAAUGACUGCUGUUAUUUAUGGACUUCCCACAUGCUUUUAUUUAUUUAUAUUUAUGAUAAAUAUAUCCUGGUUUAAAUCAUUUUGUAAUUACUCUUAGUCCUUAUGACAGCCAUGCUGUGACUAAAAAAUUUAGACCUUUUUACCAUUGUGCAGUUCUAUUAUCCCAAUCCAAUGAAUUUAGGUUUAUGACAAGUAUCAUACCUCUUUUUUAUCAUAGUUUUAAUUAAAAUUGAAUUUGGGAAAAUUGAGACCAUACUUUACUUCAAUUUUCACAUAUAUUUAUCAUAGUUUUAAUUAAAAAUUGAUUCUUGUGGCUGUUGAUGUUUUUUAUAGUUAGCAGCCAACAUCUUUGGCUCUGCAAAUUAGUUUAGUACUUUGCAAACAUUUUUAUUAGUAAACUUAAUUUUUCUGAUAUCAUUUUAUCUACCUCAGUUUAGUCUGAUUGUAGGCAUGAGAACAUACCACUUGGUUUGGUGGACUUCUGUCAGCAUGAACUGGGAAGUGGAGUCGACAUCAACCUUAGUCUUAUUUUCUUGUUAUCUUUCCCCUUGUCUUUUUUAAUCUGUUGUUUUUUAUCUUUUUGGUUCAUGUAGCAAGUAACAAUUCGGAUCAUUUUGAUAAAGGUAGCCGGUACUAGACUUAUCAUUGAUGAAUCAGUGUUUCAUGUUUGUAAUGUAAUGGUUGAUCUUGUAUGUAUGAGUGAUUAGACUUGGUCAUGAAUGAAUUUAUUUAUACGAGAAA